AGCUUUGCACAGUGGCAGUAUCAUAGCCAAUGAGGUUUAUCCGAGGCACAAUUAUUGCUGAUUGAAAACAUUUCCCAAUACCCUGCCAUGAAGACUUGCAAUAUAGUUGGCAUUAGCCAUUUUUGACAGUCUCUACAGAGA
ensembl:snRNA U4 U4 spliceosomal RNA